rnacentral:lncRNA from 1 species
CAAUUUUCACUAUCUUUUUCAGUUAUGAUACACUGCCUAUUACAAAUGAAUGAAUCCUUUUUUUUUUUCCAUUUACUUCCAUUUGAUUCAUUUAUUCCAGGGAGUGACACACUUUUUCUGUAAAGGACCGAUAGUAAAUAUGGACAAUGUGGCCCAUGAGCCUUAGUUUGCCAACUCCUAGAAAAUAUAUAAAUGUUAUCCAACCAUACAUCCAUUGUUUCACAUCAG